GUGUUCACUUCAGCAGCACAUAUACUAAAAGUGGAAUGCUACAGAGAUUAGCAUGGCCCCUGCACAGGGAUGACAUGCAAAUUUGUGAAGCAUUCCAUAUUUAU